GACGAACGCUGGCGGCGUGCCUAAUACAUGCAAGUCGAGCGAACAGAUGAGGAGCUUGCUCCUCUGACGUUAGCGGCGGAUGGGUGAGUAACACGUGGGCAACCUGCCCUGCAGAUGGGGAUAACUCCGGGAAACCGGGGCUAAUACCGAAUGAUCAGUUUGUUCGCAUGAACAAACUCUAAAAGACGGUUUCGGCUGUCACUGCAGGAUGGGCCCGCGGCGCAUUAGCUAGUUGGUGAGGUAACGGCUUACCAAGGCGACGAUGCGUAGCCGACCGGAGAGGGUGAUCGGCCACACUGGGAAUGAGACACGGCCCAGACUCCGACGGGAGGCAGCAGUAGGGAAUGUUCCACAAUGGACGAAAGUCUGAUGGAGCAACGCCGCGUGAGCGAAGAAGGUUUUCGGAUCGUAAAGCUCUGUUGUGAGGGAAGAACAAGUAUAGGAGUAACUGCCUGUACCUUGACGGUACCUCAUUAGAAAGCCACGGCUAACUACGUGCCAGCAGCCGCGGUAACAC
rnacentral:rRNA from 1 species